UUCAUUUACGUAUGAGUUGGUCUCUAAUAACGCAUAUAACCUCUUAAAUCACUUUAUUUAAAACUCAAUAACAUUACUUUUGUUUUGUGUCACACCAUAUGACCAGUUUUGAUUCGGUAUUCAAGAACAUAUUGAUCUGGGUAUCAAUAUCAUAUUGACUGGUGAUUAUGCAUCUACGGCUCCAUGAGUUGGCUUUGUCCAUUAGAGGGUGCGUCUUGCAUGCCGAUCACUACAGUUAUUUGUACUUCCAGCAUUGGUGAGUUCAAAAGGCGCCUUCAACAUGUUUAUGCCUUCCAUG